CACAUUCCCAUGCUAUACACCCCUCUUCACUCCACCCCUCCCUCCUUUGUGAUUGAAAAUGAGAGUCCCUUCACCUUUAAAAAGAAAAUAGAUGAGCGGUCUGCACCCGCAAGGCGGUGCUCUUGUUUAUAUCUAUUUCUUAAUAUUUUUCAGUAGUAAUAAUGUCUAAGAAUGUAUCUGGGUAGAAUGAAUAUCUGUUCUUUUAAAGGUUGUAACUGAUGCUCUAUUUCUUUUGGACAUGACAUGUAACUGUCUCGUUUGUACAGAGAUUCAAUUAAAUACUACAUUUUAUUAUGUGUGAUUCUAUUUUUGUGUUCCAAAUAGGCAGUCUGACAUAUUAGGUAUAUUGAAAACUCUUACAUAUAACAUUUGUAAGUAUCUGUUAUUAAUGACAGUUAAAUGAAACAAUGGUUGUAUAGUUGUGUAUAUUACAAAGAAUAAUUAUUGUUAUAUUUCGAAAUUAGAAUUAUGUUUAUAUUUUAAUUUUCAUACACUUUCAACUAUAAUUUGUAAUAGUGCCGUUGCUACUUAAAUUUUAUGUGGUUUGGAUGCACACUGUUAUAUUCUAUGCUCUUUCAAAAUACAAUUAAGGUUUCACCUUAACGGUUAUAACGCGAGUGAAAAGCAUCCAUAUGUAGCAAUAUACACUGUUAACAUGUGAUUUAAAACAAGUUUUGUUCAAUUAUCUGUAAAGUUCAUUCAUAACUAUUUUAUAACAUGUCUGCUAAAUCCACUUACUAUAUUCAAGCAUUUUGCAUUAUUGUUUUUGUUUAACACUAGAAACUGUAAAGUUUAUGUGUAAUAAAAUUAUGUUCUGUUCUGUAACGAUUGUAUGCUGAUGUAGUUGUUGCAUUAACAUUAAGUAGACAUAAAAAUUAGGUAUUCUGUAUACUACUAACAUUUUAUUGUGAUUCAAGUUGUAUUAAGUUUUGUUCUCUAAACAGAUAUUGAAUUAUUUUACUGAUACAACAACAUACGGUAUUAAAGCAGUUCCAUAUAUAGCUAGAUACACUGUUAUCAUGUUUGUCUAAAAUAUCUGUAAAGUCUAUCCAUAACCAAAUUAUGAUAUUUCUGUUAGAAAAAAAACGACAAACUAUAUGUAUUCAUGUAUUUUGUAUAAUCGCUUUGUUUAACACUAGAAACUGUAAAGUUUAUGUGUAAUAAAAUUAUGUUCUGUAUAUUACAUGAUAAUCUAUCAAUGUUGUUUUGUGAACACAACCUCUGGUUCUAUGGAAAAAAAACACAAACCUUAAGCACUUAAUUUGUCGGUGUGUGUGCAUUUGUGUGUAUGGGUGUGCGAUAAAUUGCAAGUGUUUCCUGUUCGUGUGUUUGUGUUUUGUGUGAAUUAUGUUAAGCAAAUUAAUUUAACAAAAAAGUUUAUUUGACUUUAUUAGAUGAUAGUAUUGAGUAUCCUACCAAGAAAAAUUGGUGCACGCUAUUAAGGGAUCUACUAAGUAAUUUGGGAUUUUAUGAUGCUUGUUUUUUUCAAGAUGUUGGAAAUGAAAAUAUGUUUGUAUCAGUCGUAAGACAAAGAUAGAGCGACAUGUUUGUACAGAAUUGGAAUGAGCGACUUCAUACUUCUACUAGGGCAAAUUUUUAUAAACAUAUCUCCGUUUUUCAAUUUCAACCGUACCUGAAUAUAUGCAAUGUCAACAAGUUUCGAGUAAAUUUAUCAAAAUUACGUAUGUCAUCACAAAGAUUAAAUAUCUAGACAGGCAGAUGGGCUAGACCUACACCAAUUCCAUUAGAUCAAAGAAAGUGUACUGUUUGUAAUAAACUCGAAGAUGAGUUUCAUUUUAUUCUUGAAUGUACAAUAUAUACUGAACUGAGAUCAAAAUAUAUUCCAUUGUAUUACAGACAACGACCAAACAUGUACAAGUUUAUCGAGCUAAUAACAGCAAAUAAUGAACUAUUAAUAAAAAAAUUAAGCUGUUAUAUUUAUCACUCUUUUAAGGUUCGAACGCAUAAUUCAUGUGUCAUCAAUUUGAUUUAUUCUGAAAUGUUUUGUGCAGUAUAUAUCUUGUUGUAACUUUAAUUGCAUUUAUUAUGUACUGCAUAUUAAUUGUUGGGAUAGUACCGCAUAUGUAACGUGUUUUUAUUCACAUGUUUUUUAAUCUGUCUUUGUGUUUGAACGGUCGCCUUUAAUGGACUGUCAAAACUGUAUUUGAAUGUAUUUAAUCAAUUGCCAUUAUUAUCUUUUUAAUGAAGGUUAUAUUAUAGUAUCGUGUCUGUUCCUAGAUGUAUUCUACGACAAUAUGGCUGCAUUUUUAGAACUGUUAUGCACUGAUUUACAACUAUUAUGUCACAUUAAAUACUGUACUUGUAACAUCUAUAUUUUCAUAGAGCAUAUUACAUGACCUUUUGACCAUCUACAUUUUUUAUUGCGUAGGUGGUCUGUUUAAGGUUUAUGAAAUGCUUGUUUUUAAUAUCAAACGCAAUCAGUUAAAACAUUUUGUUUCUCGUGUUUGUUUAACUACAGACACCUUGUCAUAAUGUCAUAAUAUCAGUUUAAUUAAAUAAUAUAUUGUACUAUGUGCAGAGCCUUUGAGCUGCCUAUAUUUUCGUUUCGCAAAGGUAGCAAGCAAGGGCUAAUUCUUAUGAAAUUGAUACAAGCAUAGAAAAAGCAUAAUUGAUAUUUAGUUAAAUACUGUUUGCUAUCACGUGAAACGAAAUUUGUUACGCGGGGUAAGUAAAAGUGUUAUUAUUAUGACAAUUGUCAUGUGAAGACCCAAUAUAUGUACAAUAUGCUUAUUUGAUAUUUUGUUGUCAUAAUUAAGCUCCAUUACAAAUGAUGUAAUACGACCUAUUCAAUUACAUAUAUACUAUCAAUGGUUAUUAAUAUAAUUAUACCUAUAUUUAUGCCCCCCUUCGAAGAAGAGGGGGUAUAUUGCUUUGCUCAUGUCGGUCGGUCGGUCGGUCCGUCCACCAGGUGGUUUCCGGAUGAUAACUCAAUAACGCUUGGGCCUAGGAUCAUGAAACUUCAUAGGAACAUUGAUCAUGACUCGCAGAUGACCCCUAUUGAUUUUGAGGUCACUAGGUCAAAGGUCAUAGUGACCAGAAAUAGUAAAAUGGUUUCCGGAUGAUAUCUCAAGAACGCUUAUGCCUAGGAUCAUGAAACUUCAUAGGUACAUUGAUCAUGACUCGCAGAUGACCCCUAUUGAUUUUCAGGUCACUAGGUCAAAGGUCAAGGUCACGGUGACCCGAAAUAGUAACAUGGUUUCCGGAUGAUAACUGAAGAACGCUUAUGCCUAGGAUCAUGAAACUUGAUAGGUAGAUUGAUCAGGACUCGCAGAUGACCCCUAUUGAUUUUCAGGUCACAAGGUCAAAGGUCACAGUGACAUAAAACAUAUUCACACAAUGGCUGUCACUACAACGUAGAGCCCAUAUGGGGGGCAUGCAUGUUUUACAAACAGCCCUUGUUAAUGAAACAUGUAUGAAUUGUUGCAAUGAAACGUGUUUUUUUUCUUUUUCUUUUUUGUAAAUUCAUGUAUUAUUUAUUUUGUAAACACUGUAUGCUUACUGAGUCCACUUGGGCUUUUGGCCUUCUGGGUGUGUUGUUUAAUAAACAAUAUGUAAGACUUAUCAAACGUACUGAUAAAUACUAUUGUUUAUAUAGCAUUCAACAUGACUUUUGGACCAUGUAUAUGUUAAUUUCGUAGGUGACCUGUAUAGGGUUUAUACAAUGAUAUUGAAUAUAAAUUAAUAUCAAACUUCAUUGUUUCCAGAGCCUUUGGGUUGCCUAUAUUUCCGUUUCGUAUAGGUAGACUGUAAGGGCUGACGUUUAUGCUAUUAUUACAUGCAUGUGUUUUAAUUGACUUUAAUCUAGAAGAUCUGUCAACAAGUCUUUUACAAGCCUGUUACUAUCAGAAACUGUUCUACUACCCUUAAACAUAUGAUGUAUAUAUAAAUGUACUAGUAACAUACGAAUAUUCAUAAUAAAACCGACUAUGUUAA